GUGAGCAGAACCGGGCUCGCGUGGGCCUGCUUGCUCCGGGUUCCCAGGCGACACCCGCGGUUCAUCCCGGCUGCCCCAGGCCCGGGCCCUGACCAGGCUGCACUCACACUCUGUCCUGCCACUGGGCAUCUCUUGAACGCGCAUAUCCGAGGGACAGGCUUAAGUGGUCCGAGCUUUACCUGCACUCCUUCGGGAUGGCCUUCGGGCUUGCAUCCCAGAGUCUCGCGGUGCUGGUUUCUCCUGCAGCUUUCUAGAGAGCCCUUGUUAAGAGUCCACAUGUUCUUUUGCUGUCUUUGCAACGACUUUGAAGGGGCAUCAUGAAUUGCUGUUUGAAUAGUUAAGGCUGUGAGUUUGAAAAUACUGUGCUAAGUCAAGAUUGUUAACAGAGCACACGUGUGACUUGAAAUCCUGCUUAAACUGUAUGACACCAUUGUAACGCGUGAGAAAUGCACCGUCUGAAUUUAUUUUUCUUCCUAAGAACUGCUUAGCCUGAUUAGAAACUGUGGUUCACCCUGGAUGUCAUGGUGACAUUUUGACUCACAGAUUGGGAAUUCGUGUUAACCUCCUUUCUCCUUCCAUAUGGGAUAUAUUGAAUGCCUUGCCAGCAUUGACUUCCCCAACUUUUAAAGUACACUUACUAAUUCACUUGAGCAGAUUUCUUAAAAAUGAAUGACCCCUGAAAACCCCUUGAAAGCUGGUUGAGUGUGCCUGCUAAUCUUCCCUGCCGUGCAAUCAUGUGUAGUGCUGUGUGCACCUGUAAUCACAGCAUUGGAAAGGCUGAGGAUUGUGAGUUUAAGGCCAGGCUCAAAUCCUUCCCUAUCUCUCAGUAGAAAAAGUUAAAAAUUUAUUUUCUACAGCGUUUGGUUUAUGGUCAUUGAAAUUUGAGUUGAUAUGAUCUGCCUCUUUUAAAAAAUUUUUUUUUAUUUUUUAUUUAUUUAUUUUUUUGAGAAACAUGUUUCUCUGUGUAGCCCUGGCUAUUCUGGAACACUCUGUGUAGAGCAGUCUGGUCUCAAAGCCACAGAGAUCUCCCUGCCUCUUGACUCCUGAGUGUAGAGUGUACUGCUGUGCUCAGCCUUUUACUCUUUUUAAGGAAAUGCAAACAGGCCCACUUAGGCAGUGUGAGCUGGAAGGUUCUCCCUUGUGUCAGCCUUGAAAAGUUGGCUCUCAUUGUUCUUUGUAAUGCCACACGGAUUUUGUUCCUUAACUUUUAUCAUCCUGUAAUCACUUAAUCUUCAUUUGCUCUUGCUAAGACUUUUACACAUUUUCUUAUGAAAUUACCUGCAGUGAGAAGGUAAGGUCUUUGGAGUCACAUUUUCUAUAUUUCUUCUUCUGUGGGGUUUGUUUUCUUGAGACAGGACCUCACUUAGCCUAGCUUGGUCUCAAAUUUGCUGUGUACUGGAGGAAGAUUUUGGUCUCCUGGCCCCACCCCAGGGCUGAGGACUGAGCCUGAGGCCUUGUACUUGUUAUACAAGUACUCUGCCUUGGAGCUAAAUCCUCAACCCCUGCUCUACUUUCCAAAUGCUGGCAUUAUAGGUAUUCACCACCACACCAGGGUUGGAUAUUAUAUAUUGGAUAUGUGCUUUUUUUAGAUAGUUUCUUACAAACAAAUCUUGACUGAAUUCCUCCUGUGUAGGGGGUGAGUACAGUUUCAAGUGUUUAUGAAAUUUCAUCUAGUAGUUAAGCAAUAACUUUAAAAGGCUGUUGAGAAGUUUUGGUGGUGAAAUAAAAUAAAAUAGACUGAGUUGACCAAGUCCAUAUUUUGACCUUAUGCCCUAGGCAACUAUUGCAAAUUAAGCCAUUCAGUCCUCAUAUUAAGCACAUAACACCACUUACAGAAGAUGGACUCAAGUCCCGAAAUGUUAGAUGACUUGCUUAAAGCCAUAGAACUAGUAAGUGUCAGUCUAGGCCUGGUACAUUGAGGCAGAGCUGUACCACUGAGCUACACUGCCAGCUUCCUAGAAACAGUCAAUACUCUUAUUUAUAUCAUGCUACUUAAGUUAAACAUUGUUUCAACAAGGGUCAGUUAGAUGGCUCAGUGGGCAAGGGCCAUUGUUACAAAACCCUGGUGACUUGGGUUCACACUUGGAACCCAAACAAAGGUGGAAGGAAAGAAUUGAUUCCACAAGGUUGUGCUCUGACCUCUACCAUAUACACAACCAUAAUAAAAUAGC
rnacentral:lncRNA from 1 species